GAUGAAGAACGUAGUGAAAUGCGAUAAUUAAUGUGAAUUGCAGAAUUCCGUGAAUCAUCGAGUUUUUGAACGCAUAUUGCGCCCCUUGGUAUUCCGAGGGGCAUGCCUGUCCGAGCGUCAUUGCAACCCUUCAAGCACGGCUUGUGUGUUGGACGGCCGCCCCAGUGUGGGCGGGUCCCAAAUGCAGUGGCGGCGCCGCGAUCCGGGUGCUCGAGUGCAUGGAAACCACGCGCUCGUUAGGCCCCGUCGGGCGCCGGCCGACCUAAUUAUCUUCGUUCUGGUUGACCUCGGAUCAGGUAGGAAUACCCGCUGAACUUAAGCAUAUCAAUAAGCGGAGGA
rnacentral:misc_RNA from 1 species